AUGAUUAACAUCGGUCCAUUAAGAAUGGUCCAAAUACUGUCACUGAUCCACAACGAAGAUGGGAGCCUGAGUAGCAUGCCCUACAUACCAGUAGACGUCAAAAACCUAAAGGCAAAGUACCAUAGAGAGAGCAGGUUGGCUGAUAGAGAAGCCACGAUAGCCUACUUCAAAGAGAAAGCAAAAGCAGAUAGCGAUUUCUUCUACAGGAUAAGGUUGGAUGAUGAGGACCGUGUCAGAAACAUGUAUUGGGUGGAUGGUGCUGCAAGAAGAGCCUACAAACAUUUCCGUGAUUGCAUAUUGUUCGACACAACAUAUCUCACGAAUAUGUACAAGAUGCCAUGUGCUCCAUUCAUAGGAAUAAACAACCACAAUCAGUCCUUGCAGUUCGGUUGCGAUCUUGUUCGGAACGAAGAUACCGAUGGUUACACUUGGUUGUUCAAAACCUUCUUGGAGUGCAUGGAUGGACUAGAUCCGAUGAACAUAAUAACGGACCAGGAUUUUAGCAUGCACGCAGGCAUAGAGGAGGUCUUUCCAUUGGCAGUGCACAGGCACUACAAGUGGCAUAUUAUUAAGAAGGCUGAAGAGAGGCUAGGACCAUUCUUCGCUGACCGUCUAGAGCUGCAGAAGGCAUUCGAGUUGUGUGUGGACCACAACUUGACGGUGGAGGAGUUUGAACGGAGCUGGACGACUAUGAUUGAAACGUACCAAGUCCAAGACAACGAGACACUAAAAAGCUUGUGGGAGAAGCGAAUGUACUGGGUGCCGGCCUACUUCAUGCAGUGCUUCUUCCCAUUUCUGCAGACUACACAACGUAGCGAAGGGUUCAAUGCUGUUUUGAAGUGUUACGUGAGCCCUGGAAACUCAUUGCUGCAGUUUUCCAAGCAGUAUUUAGCUUUGCAACAAAAAAUACUGGGAUCUGAGCUACAUCAAGAAGCAAAUACCGCACUCAAGCAGCCUAAAUUGCUAACAUACUUACCGAUGGAGAGGCAUAUGAGCAAGAUAUACACCAGCAAGAUGUUUAACAAAUUCCAGGAAGAAAUAAAGCAGGCCAGCAUGUACACAGAUUACGAGGUUGAUGAACAAACCUUCAAGGUGUGUACUCUCAUGGGCAUGUCCGAUUCAGAACCUGAAGACUCGGACAAGGGACGAAACUACUUUGUUAAGGCCUCAAUAACCAAAGGUGAAUACUACUGUCAAUGUUGCAAAUACGAAUGGGACGGGAUUGUGUGCUGCCACAUACUCAAAGUAAUGGACAUGUACGCGGUCACGCAAUUGCCCCGCCAUUUCAUACGACGGUGGUGGACUUGGGACGCUCACGAUGCAUUGGGGCCACAAACAUCAACUACAAUUUUGGCUGUACAUGAUGAGAGACCAGUGGAAACCAUGGAGUUCAUUAGGCACAUUGUAUUGUCAAGGAACUAUGCUGAGCUAAUAGAUGAAGCAUGCAAAAGUGAUGAGACGGCCAGGGUGGCAAAAAAGCACAGGAAGGCCCUGAAAAGAGAGCUUGAUGAGAUCAAGAAGAGAAAGGUUGAAGAAGCCUUGCAUCGGUUCCCCCGCACCUCAAGUGUGCUUUCGUCCACGGGUCCAUCCUCUGAAAACUCGGAGGUAGGUUCUGGAACAGCAAGCACGCAGACUCAAGUCAGGAACCCACCCCAUUUCGUCACAAAAGGCCGUCCGAAAGAGAUACGGUACAAAUCGGGGUUGGAAAUUGAAGCAAAGCACAAGAAGGCAAAGAAAGGGGCGGGCAAUCCAUAA
rnacentral:rRNA from 1 species